CUGCUCAAUGAAUAAAUUUUAAAUAGCUGCAGUAUAAAUAACUGUACAAAGGUAGCAUAAUAAUUUGUUUUUUAGUUAAAAACUAGAAUAAAUGAUUUAAUGAAAUAUAAACUGUAUCAAAUUUAAAAAAUAAAUUUAUUAUUUAAAUAAAAAAAUUUAAAUAACUUUUAUAGACAAGAAGACCCUAUAGAAUUUAAAUAAUAAUUUAUAAUAUUAAUUUUAUAAUUUUAUUAUAUUAAUUGGGGAAAUUUUAAAAUUUUCAAAAUUUUUAAUUAAAUAAACAUAAAUUUUUGAAUAUAUAAUAUUUUUUAAAAAAAUAAAUUAAAUUACCUUAGGGAUAACAGCAUAAUUUUUUUAAAAAG
rnacentral:rRNA from 1 species